rnacentral:misc_RNA from 1 species
UUUCCGUAGGUGAACCUGCGGAAGGAUCAUUAUUGUAUAACCGAGGUGCGAGGGCUGUCGCUGACCCGAAAGGUCGUGCACGCCCGAGUGCCCUCACACACAUCCAUCUCACCCCUAUGUGCACCUCCGCGUGGGUCCCCCUUUGGCUUGUUCGGAGGGGGGCUUACGUUUUCACACAAACUUUGUAUGCAGUGUAGAAUGUAUUUUUUGUUUUUGCGAUCACGCAAUCAAUACAACUUUCAACAACGGAUCUCUUGGCUCUCGCAUCGAUGAAGAAUGCAGC